GAUGAACGCUGGCGGCGUGCCUAAUACAUGCAAGUCGAGCGAACGGACGAGAAGCUUGCUUCUCUGAUGUUAGCGGCGGACGGGUGAGUAACACGUGGAUAACCUACCUAUAAGACUGGGAUAACUUCGGGAAACCGUAGCUAAUACCGGAUAAUAUUUUGAACCGCAUGGUUCAAAAGUGGAAGACGGUCUUGCUGUCACUUAUAGAUGGAUCCGCGCUGCAUUAGCUAGUUGGUAAGGUAACGGCUUACCAAGGCAACGAUGCAUAGCCGACCUGAGAGGGUGAUCGGCCACACUGGAACUGAGACACGGUCCAGACUCCUACGGGAGGCAGCAGUAGGGAAUCUUCCGCAAUGGGCGAAAGCCUGACGGAGCAACGCCGCGUGAGUGAUGGAGGUCUUCGGAUCGUAAAACUCUGUUAUUAGGGAAGAACAUAUGUGUAAGUAACUGUGCACAUCUUGACGGUACCUAAUCAGAAAGCCACGGCUAACUACGUG
rnacentral:rRNA from 1 species